GGCCUGCACCUGACACACACCCUUCAUACGCGGCACCUGCCUCGCGGCUUCUGCUACAAACAUCUCCAUCGUUAUAGAUUUACUAAGUACAGGAGCAGCUAAUAACUCUCGGCUACAUUAGUGUCAGCGGUGGGAUUUCCUCCUGCUUUAACAGCCGCUGAAAGAUCGAUGUUAUGUCAAUAUGUGUCGUUACCGGGAGUUUUAGCUAAUUAGCUAGCCUGGGUUAGCUUAGCUUCAGUCACCAUGACAGUUUAUUACCUGAACAUUUUACUCCAUGUCAGCGGGAAAGAAGAUUGCUGAAGCUGUUUUGAUGAUACUGACUUAUUGGCUGACAACGGAAUUCAUGUCCGACUAAAUCACUUGUCAACUUGACAGUGAAGGAGUCUGUGGGAGCGGGGAUUUAAACUCCGCCAUCAUGGAGAAAUGGCGGUUGAGGAAAUGUUCACAUCGUUUGGAGUCUGUUUUUAAGUCUGGGUUUGGAGCAUCACGUGACCUGAAUCACCUGAUCACACCUCCACUCCUCUGCAGACACUGGUUUGACUCAACCAGAGAACUCGCUUUUAGUGAUAAAGCUUCAUCUCGCUGCUCCUCAUCAUCCUGAGUGAAGACGACAUUAGAAGAGUUUCCACUGACAUCUGGGACGUGGGCUGGAAACUUCCAGAUGUUUCAGGAGGAACAGUUUGUUGAAGAUAAAUCAGCUUUGUUCUCUGAACAGAAGACUGGAGAAUUUGACCUUAAAGGUUCAUCCUCACUGGGCUCGAUGAGGAUCUGAUGAGGUUCCUGGAGUGGCAUCAUGGAACUGACUGAGCACAACACGGCUUCAUGAUGACAGCUCCACACAGAGGAUGAUGUCACUUCUUCUGCUGGGUCCUCUGCAUUUUCUCAAGGAACAAGACAGUGAAGGCCACAGGAGCAGAUGAGGAGGUCACCGAGGAGAGGAAGGCUGCCACCGAUUGGUUUUUGUAUCCUCCACAUACUCUAUCCAGAGGAACACAGGUUCACCACUGAAAUCCUCAGAGUCCUGAUGAUUGGUGGCAGAGGGCAGUGUUCCUCAGCUGAUCCUGGUCUGAGAGACAGACUCCUGCUGAACCCUGCAGACCUGGAUCUGAUGGCUCAUCAGAUACAGCUGCUCAGCUCUGCCCUCUCCCAGUGUUCAUCAGGAGUCUCUGAGGGACCUCACAGGUGUACCUUGGUCCUUGAGAUUAUCAGUUUAGAGGUUCCCAAUUAGACAAAUCAGCAGAGCAGAGGUUUGUGGUGGGUCUGCAGCAUCAGCGUGAAAUAUCAGAUUUGCAAAAUGC